rnacentral:rRNA from 1 species
AAUAUUGGACAAUGGGCGAAAGCCUGAUCCAGCCAUGCCGCGUGUAUGAAGAAGGACAUCGGAUUGUAAAGUACUUUUGGUAGGGAAGAAGGGCUAUAUCCUAAUACCUUACUAUUUUGACGUUACCGACAGAAUAAGCACCGGCUAACUCCGUGCCAGCAGCCGCGGUAAUACGUAGGGUGCAAGCGUUAAUCGGAAUUACUGGGCGUAAAGCGCGCGUAGGUGGUUUGUUAAGUUAGAAGUGAAAGCCCAGGGCUCAACCUGGGAACUGCAUUCAAAACUGGCAAGCUAGAGUAUGGCAGAGGGUGGUAGAAUUUCAUGUGUAGCAGUGAAAUGCGUAGAUAUAGGGAGGAACACCGGUGGCGAAGGCGGCCACCUGGGAUAAUACUGACACUGAGAUGCGAAAGCGUGGGGAGCAAAC